AAAUAUUACAAAUAUUAUAAGCAGCAAAAGAAAAACAAAAACAACAAUAUAAUCAAUUUAAACGACAAACAAAUCGAAAGAUCUUAACUAUACAUCCAAUAGGCGGUCAUCAUAUAUACAUAUAUAUAUAUAUAUAUAUUCUUAUAGUACAUAUUAAUCAACGAUUUUCAAUCAAACAAUCCAUCAAUCAAGCCAACAAUCAAGCGAGCAUUAUGCAUACAUACACACAUCUCUAUUUAUAAAUAAAUAUACUUUAAAAAACAUACUCAGAAGCUGCUGUGGAAAGGUCAGGUCCUGUGUAAACCAUCAAGUAUUAUUAGCACCUAACAACAAAAACCGAACUCAGACUUGGAAAACACUCUCAGAAAAACACUCUCAGAGCCGAAAGAAAGACAGCGAGAGAGAAAGAGAGAGAGCGAUCACAUCCAAAAACUCAGUCGGAAAACUCAUCUCAGCCUCAACGGAAAAAGCCUCAACACACACAAAAAAUAAAGAGAAAUAUAUACAUAUAUUUUGAGAGAAAGUGAAAGAGAAAGAGAUAUAUAUAUAUAUAUAUACAGUAAGGAUAUCUGGAAGGAACUGUGUGGCAGGUAUAUAGGGACAACGCUAAGGAUAACGAUAACGUAAGGACUAAGGACAACAAAUCUAGGAUACAA